CCCUUUUGGCUGGGGGUCCCCACUCCACACCAUGAGUGUCUCCACCCCCUUGCAGCUGUCUUAAAUAUGUCUGAGAAGGGGUAAUGUGUGCUCCUCCGAUGGCAUGCAAUCUUUUUUUUUUUUUUUUUUUUUCCCCUCCCCACAGUUAUUUUUAUCUGCUUUGUGGCAGGCUGAAGCCAAUUUCAACUGGCAUAUGGCAGUUCACAGUGUCCUCCCACACAGGUCACCAUUGCAGCCCCUGUUACUUAGAGCCUACGGUAUAUGCCCAUUACAGGGAUACAGAAAUGACCAGCUGAUUUGGAGAGAUGUGGAGUCUGAUCUGUCAGUCCACAGUGCAACAACAAAUGUGAAGGACAGGAGUGUGAAAAUGCCAACAAUAGAUUAUACAAUCCCUUCACGAACGUAUUAAUGGACUGGUAUUUUAUUCUGCAUGUGCUAAACUUUUGAUCAGUGUUUUGGACUUUCUGAUGAUAAAUUUACUGUAAAUCCAGUUAAAUAUUCUACCAUUUUGCAGAUUUGCAGAUUGCUUGUUUUUCUUGCACAGUAAUGGAUAGUGUCAUAUCAAUUUAUAGAAGAAAUAUUUACUAUAUCUUAAUUUUAUUUCCCAUAUCUUAUUUUUGAAAGUUAUGUUUUCAUCUCAAUUCAGAUAACUUCUUCACAAGGCAUUAAGUGAUGAGCUUGCUACUGUUCUAAACAUAGGGAUGUAUAGUGUGUGUUAAUUACCUAAAAUCUUGGUGAUUUUUCUGGAAAUUAGGUUUUGUAUGGUAGGUUUUUCCCUGUUUCUUAUGACUGUGUAAGAGUGCUUGACCUUUCAGUUGUAUUUAUUUUUGCAUGCUGAUAAAUUCACAGGAUACACUGUCCUUUACCGUGUAUUGUGAUUUUUACUGUUAUUAAUACAAGAUGAUUUACCUUAAACAGUGCAUUUUUACUUGRGUACAGUAGAUAAGGGAAAAGUAUUAUAAGUCAUCCCUGCUCCUUCUCACUCCUCUCAUUCUUACCUUGGUUAUUGAUUACUCACAGUGCAUUCUUCUCAGGGUGUAGUUUAUUCUCUGCAAUGGUGCUGCUCCUCCUUUUUGCAGCCUAAAUAAAAGGGUUAGUUAAUAAAUCUAUUUUAAAAGC
rnacentral:lncRNA from 1 species